rnacentral:rRNA from 1 species
AGACGUAGGUGGCGAGCGUUGUCCGGAUUUAUUGGGCGUAAAGGGCUCGUAGGCGGCUUGACAAGUCGAUCGUGAAAACCCGGGGCUCAACCCCGGGACGCCGGUCGAAACUGUCAUGGCUAGGGUCCGGUAGAGGUGAGUGGAAUUCUCGGUGUAGCGGUGAAAUGCGCAGAUAUCGAGAGGAACACCAGUAGCGAAGGCGGCUCACUGGGCCGGUACCGACGCUGAUGAGCGAAAGCGUGGGGAGCAAACAGGAUUAGAAACCCCAGUAGUCC